rnacentral:rRNA from 1 species
UCGUCACACUAUCAUUAACUGAAUCCAUAGGUUAAUGAGGCGAACCGGGGGAACUGAAACAUCUAAGUACCCCGAGGAAAAGAAAUCAACCGAGAUUCCCCCAGUAGCGGCGAGCGAACGGGGAGGAGCCCAGAGCCUGAAUCAGCAUGUGUGUUAGUGGAAGCGUCUGGAAAGGCGCGCGAUACAGGGUGACAGCCCCGUACACAAAAGCGCAUGUGCUGUGAGCUCGAUGAGUAGGGCGGGACACGUGGUAUCCUGUCUGAAUAUGGGGGGACCAUCCUCCAAGGCUAAAUACUCCUGACUGACCGAUAGUGAACCAGUACCGUGAGGGAAAGGCGAAAAGAACCCCGGCGAGGGGAGUGAAAAAGAACCUGAAACCGUGUACGUACAAGCAGUGGGAGCACCCUUUGGGGUGUGACUGCGUACCUUUUGUAUAAUGGGUCAGCGACUUAUAUUCUGUAGCAAGGUUAACCG